rnacentral:rRNA from 2 species
UACGAACUGUGCAAACGUUAUUCGGAAUCACUGGGCUUAAAGGGUGCGUAGGCGGCUCAUUAAGUAGGGUGUGAAAGCCCCCGGCUCAACCGGGGAAUUGCGCUCUAAACUGAUGAGCUCGAGUGAGAUAGGGGUGUGUGGAACUUCCGGUGGAGCGGUGAAAUGUGUUGAUAUCGGAAGGAACGCCGGUGGCGAAAGCGACACACUGGGUCUCAACUGACGCUGAGGCACGAAAGCCAGGGGAGCAAACGGG